UACAAGGUAGCCAUUUGGCGUUGGGAGUAUGUGCCAAAUCUACUAGACAUUGGAGAAACAGUAGGAACAACACCUGGUAGCGGCACAUGGAUCUUUCAGGAAAAUGAAGUAGGUAAUAAACAGGAAAAAGCCCGAAUCUGAUGCUAAGAAGAACAUAAACAGGAUGCUGAGAGAUUGGGUCUCUCCACAUUGCCUAGGCUGCUCUCCAACUUCUGAGCUCAAGUGAUCCACCUCCCUUGGCCUCCCAAAGUACUAGGAUUACAGGCGUGAGCCACCGUGCCUGGCUGAGAAGAUGGAUUUAAGACAUGUUUUGGAGCGGAAAGUGAGCAGAAGAGGUGUGCAGUUUCCAGGCCUGGCCCAUACAGACCUCCAACAGGUGUUCCCCUGUGCUCUUACUCCUUCUGCCAACUGGAAGCAGAUGGUGACAGGCUCUGGAGAAGGCAAGGCCUGAAGAUGGGAGAUUCCUAAGUGGAGGAGAACUGUGCCUUACUGACCUAAAUAUCCACUCAGUAUUGUUAUGUGAGAAUAAAUAAACUUGUGUU
rnacentral:lncRNA from 1 species